rnacentral:rRNA from 1 species
ACGGGAGGCAGCAGUGAGGAAUAUUGGUCAAUGGGCGGAAGCCUGAACCAGCCAAGUCGCGUGAGGGAAGACGGCCCUACGGGUUGUAAACCUCUUCUGCGCGGGGGUAAAGUCGGGGACGUGUCCCCGAUUGCAAGUACCGCGCGAAAAAGGAUCGGCUAACUCCGUGCCAGCAGCCGCGGUAAUACGGAGGAUCCGAGUGUUAUCCGGAUUUAUUGGGUUUAAAGGGUGCGCAGGCGGGAUGUCAAGUCAGUGGUGAAAUGGUGCGGCUCAACCGUAGCAUUGCCGUUGAAACUGGCGUCCUUGAGUGCGAAUGAGGUACGCGGAACGUGUCAUGUAGCGGUGAAAUGCAUAGAUAUCACGAAGAACUCCGAUUGCGAAGGCAGCCAUCUGGCGUGUUACUGACGCUCAUGCUCGAAGGUGCGGGUAUCAAACAGGAUUAGAUACCCUGGUA